GUUUGGUGCUCUCGGAGCCGGCGAUGAGGAGCGCCCCGUCCCGGCUGGAGUCCGGAGCUCCGGGAUCCAAGCCCACGAAGCCCACCUUGAGCUUCUUCUCGGCUGCCGGCCCCGGCAUGACAGACUCAUGCCUCAAGGGAUAUUUCCUCCUGAUGCACCUCCACAAGACUCAGCAUGGAGAACCCUGAGAGAAGAAUCCCAAUAAGUGACGCACGAGAGGCACCUCAAGACUAAAAUUGCUGCUGUUUACUCUCCACAACCCACCACGUACAUUGAGACGAGCCAGCACGGAGCAGCCCUCCCCUUAGGUAGGUUUCCUCUGACCCACGUGCUCUGCAACACCUGGCUAAAAGAGAAGACGUCUCCGCAAGGCAGGCAGAAAACUAAAGCUGGGUUAAAGAAAGGAAAAACAGAUCUGCAAGUAUGUCAGUGAAUAAAUUACUCAAUUCAGUGAGGGGCCAUUCUAUUCAUUAUUUGUGAACACUUCUAAGAUCAUUAGUGUUCUUUAAUAGGGUAGCCAAUUACAAAUGUGCCUGGCACUAAUGUACAAAGUGCAUUAUUAUAGAUCCAGCGACGCAGUCCAAAAGCAGGAAAUAUCCCCCUCCACAAAAAAGGCCAACAACAAACAGAGGAAGCAAUUUUCAAUUAACAAAUUCCAGAUUACUAAUAGACUGCGAGCCCUAAAGAAGAAUCUAAAUUCAUCACACUCCUCUUUGCCUAAUUAGUUGGUCAUCCGCAGCAUCACACUGCAGCACAGCUUCGGGUGCCACGUGUCUCCCCCAAAAGCUACCAAAAAGCAGGGGUGGGUGCAGGAAAGGGGGGAUUUCAUCCUUUCCAAGCCCUGGGGGGAAGAGUGAGAUGCCAGGGAAGGUGCAAAGUGCUUGUGGCAGCUGGCAGGGCUCGCUGCUCCACUUGUGAGGGAGGUAAAGCCUCAGAUGAAGGCAAACAGAACCUUGUGAGCAAGGAACACCAAGGAUGCUCCCCUUGUACAGACAGAGCAGUCUUUGGGAGGCAGAAAAGACCUGGAAUUGUGGAUAAAAAUCCACUCCAGCCUUGCUUCUUCCCUCUCUUCAACUUGGGCCCU